AUGUUUGCUUCAUCUCCACUGCUGCUGCUGGCUCUCGCCCCCUAUGUGUUCUGUGCUACUGAGCUCAUCCAGCCAGACUCAGUGGUGAUAAAGCCAGGAGAGACUUUAACCCUCACCUGUAGAGUGUCUGGAGCUUCGAUCACUGAUAGCAGCAGCCACUUUGGAACAGCUUGGAUUCGACAACCUGCAGGAAAACCUUUGGAAUGGAUCAACACCAUUUAUUAUGAUGGGGAUAUUGACAAGAAAGAUUCACUGAAAGACAAGUUUGUUGUUUCUCGAGACACUUCCAGUAACACUGUGACCUUACGGGGACAGAACAUGCAGAGUGAAGACACAGCUGUGAAAUGCCUCAUGUCUCUAAGCCUGCUGUGCCUUUAUGAAAGCCUCAACACUGUCAUGCAAAUCAAACCCCCUAUAAAAUAUUUGAGGUGCACUCAAGAGAAGUGA